rnacentral:rRNA from 1 species
CCUACGGGCGGCUGCAGUGAGGAAUAUUGGUCAAUGGGCGGGAGCCUGAACCAGCCAAGUCGCGUGAGGGAAGACGGUCCUAUGGAUUGUAAACCUCUUUAGGCGGGGAGCAAUGGCGGGGACGUGUCCCGACCCGGAGAGUACCCGGAGAAAAAGCAUCGGCUAACUCCGUGCCAGCAGCCGCGGUAAUACGGAGGAUGCGAGCGUUAUCCGGAUUUAUUGGGUUUAAAGGGUGCGUAGGCGGGCUUUUAAGUCAGCGGUAAAAAUUCGGGGCUCAACCCCGUCCGGCCGUUGAAACUGGGGGCCUUGAGUGGGCGAGAAGAAGGCGGAAUGCGUGGUGUAGCGGUGAAAUGCAUAGAUAUCACGCAGAACCCCGAUUGCGAAGGCAGCCUUCCGGCGCCCUACUGACGCUGAGGCACGAAAGUGCGGGGAUCGAACAGGAUUAGAUACCCCUGUAGUC